rnacentral:piRNA from 1 species
UCUUGGUGUUACUUUGAUGAAAAAAUCCUA